rnacentral:lncRNA from 1 species
AUGCCAAGUACGGCCGCCUCGGUGUGUUGGUGCGCUUUGUUUUUUCUUGCUUUGUGUGUUAAUUCAGUUUUCGGCUGUGAUACCCGGGGCUCUUUCACUAAAGAAGAGCUCAUGAACAUCAGGGGAACAACUCCAGCUGAUCUCUUUCCCACUUUUCUUAUUUCUUCCGUGGAAUUAUUGGACAUUGUGGUCAAAAGUGCGCUCACCUUUGCUCACGCAGUGAAACGCAGGAGGAGAGGGAGACGUGCCGGUGCGCUUGUGCGUCUCCGCCAGCGCGGACAUCGUACGCCGUUACCUGGAAUAUUCCUCUCCAAUGUGCGCUCACUGUGCAACAAAAUGGACCAAUUUCAGCUACUUCUGGGGAAAAACAGUGACUUUUCUUCAUCCUCUGUUUUAUGCUUCACAGAGACGUGGCUGAGUGGAUCGGUACCGGACUCUGCGCUGCAGCUGGCAGGCUUCCAACUCCUCAGAGCGGAUCGUGACACAGAACUCUCCGGCAAAACAAAGGGUGGAGGUAUCUGUUUUUAUACCAACAGUAGCUGGUGUAAUGAUGUGACAGUGAUCCAACAGCACUGCUCUUCUACUCUGGAAUCUUUCUUUAUAAACUGCAAACCUUUUUACUCCCCCCGUGAGUUUGUUUCAUUCAUUCUGGUCGGUGUUUACAUUGCACCGCAGGCCAACGUGCAGGAUGCACAGCGCAUACUCGCCGACCAGAUACUGUAUGUGGAGCAGACUAACCCGGACUCUUUAGUUAUUGUCCUCGGUGACUUUAACAAAGGAAACCUCAGUCACGAUCUUCCAAAAUAUAAACAGUUUAUUAAAUGCACGACCAGAGAGAAGAAUAUACUGGAUCAUUGUUACACUACAGUCAGCGGAGCUUAUCACGCCGUCCCCGCCGCACUGGGCCUCUCCGACCACGUCAUGGUCCACCUGAUUCCCUCAUACAGGCAGAAAUUAAAGCUCUGCAAACCUGUUGUGAGGACAUCAAGGCAGUGGACCAGUGAAGCUGUGGAGGAUCUCCAGGCGUGCUUGGACUCUACUGACUGGGAUGUGUUCAGGACUGCUACUAACAGUCUGGAUGAGUACACAGAGGCUGUGACGUCAUAUAUCAGCUUCUGUGAGGACUGCUGUGUACCAUCACGCACCAGGGUGAGUUACAACAACGACAAACCCUGGUUCACAGCCAAACUCAUUCAACUACGGUUGCAGAAGGAGCAAGCGUUCAGGAGUGGGGACAGGGACAAGUUUAAGGAGUCCAAGUACAAGUUUAGGAAGGCGGUGAGAGAAGCUAAACAUCAGUACUCUGAGAAACUUCAACACCAGUUCUCAGCCAACGACUCUGGUUCUGUCUGGAAGGGGCUCAGACAGAUAACUAACUACAAGCCCAAAACCCCUCACUCCAUCAAUGAUCUGCGCCUGGCAAACGAGCUGAAUGAGUUCUACUGCCGCUUCGACAGACAAAGGAGCAGUCCUGACACCAUCCCCCGUGACACCCCUCACCGGCCCCACCUCACCAGUCCCUCCCCCCCCAGCCCAGCAGGAGCUGGGGCCACUUCACAGCUUCACACCUCUGUGAAUCCCUCCUCCUCCACCACAGUGACGACUCUCUGCCUCCAAGAGAGGGACGUCAACAGACUCUUCAAGAGGCAGAACCACCGCAAAGCAGCCGGACCAGAUUCUGUCUCUCCAUCCACCCUGAAGCACUGUGCUGACCAGCUGUCUCCGGUGUUCACUGACAUCUUCAACACCUCUUUGGAGAUAUGUCACGUGCCAGCCUGCUUCAAAGCAUCGACCAUCAUCCCUGUACCCAAGAAAGCAAGGACCACAGGACUAAAUGACUUCAGACCUGUUGCCCUCACCUCUGUGGUCAUGAAGUCUUUUGAGCGCCUUGUGCUUUCCCACCUGAAAGCCAUAACAGACCCACUCCUGGACCCCCUGCAGUUCGCCUACAGAGCCAACAGGUCUGUAGACGAUGCAGUAAACAUGGCCCUACACUUCACCCUCCAGCAUCUGGACUCCCCCAGGAACCUAUGCCAGGAUCCUGUUUGUGGACUUCAGCUCUGCGUUUAA